rnacentral:rRNA from 1 species
AUUGAACGCUGGCGGCAUGCUUUACACAUGCAAGUCGAGCGGCAGCGCGGCCUUCGGGCUGGCGGCGAGCGGCGAACGGGUGCGGAAUGCAUCGGAACAUGCCCAGUCGUGGGGGAUAACACUUCGAAAGAAGUGCUAAUACCGCAUACGCCCUGAGGGGGAAAGCGGGGGAUCGCAAGACCUCGCGCGAUUGGAGUGGCCGAUGUCAGAUUAGCUAGUUGGUGGGGUAAAGGCCUACCAAGGCGACGAUCUGUAGCUGGUCUGAGAGGAUGAUCAGCCACACUGGGACUGAGACACGGCCCAGACUCCUACGGGAGGCAGCAGUGGGGAAUUUUGGACAAUGGGGGCAACCCUGAUCCAGCCAUGCCGCGUGAGUGAAGAAGGCCUUCGGGUUGUAAAGCUCUUUCGGCAGGAACGAAACGGUGAGCUCUAACAUAGUCCGCUAAUGACGGUACCUGAAGAAGAAGCACCGGCUAACUACGUG